rnacentral:rRNA from 1 species
AGAGCGAACGCUGGCGGCAGGCCUAACACAUGCAAGUCGAGCGCCCGUAGCAAUACGGGAGCGGCAGACGGGAGAGUAACACGUGGGAACGCGCCCUUCGGUUCGGAAUAACUCAGGGAAACUUGAGCUAAUACCGGAUACGCCCUUACGGGGAAAGAUUUAUUGCCGAAGGAACGGCCCGCGUCCGAUUAGCUAGUUGGUGAGGUAAUGGCUCACCAAGGCGACGAUCGGUAGCUGGUCUGAGAGGAUGACCAGCCUCACUGGGACUGAGACACGGCCCAGACUCCUACGGGAGGCAGCAGUGGGGAAUAUUGGACAAUGGGCGCAAGCCUGAUCCAGCCAUGCCGCGUGGAUGAUGAAGGCCUUAGGGUGUAAAGUCCUUUUAACGGGGAAGAUAAUGACGUACCGUAGAAUAAGCCCGGCUAACUUCGCGCCAGCAGCCGC